AAGGAUCAUUAGUGAAUAACCUGGGACCCUGUCCCAAACCAUCUCACAUCUACACACCUCUGUGCACCGUUGGACGGGCUUGAUCCUCAAGUCAUGUCCUUUUAAUAUAUAAACACUUGUAUCAGUAAGGAAAGUCAAAUGGAAUAAAAUAAAACUUUCAACAACGGAUCUCUUGGCUCUC
rnacentral:misc_RNA from 1 species